GGGGGCGACAGGCUUUCGACUGGGACAUCGGAGGAGUAAGACUUCAGGCAGGGCUGAGCAACCCUUUAAAGGCUCAAAACUAUAACUGCGAACGAAAGUUACGCAUUAGCCGCGUAACGCGGCAACCUGUUACUCGCCUUUUCUCCCGGGGCGUUUAAUGGGUAAAAACUAGGGAGAUAGUCCUUGUGGCGCCGAUAAACAGGGGCGAAACACUUCGGCUAGGGGGAUCACGGUCUGUCAGGCCUUCCUGAAAUCCCCGACAAAACAAAGACCGGACCAAGCCUGUGGAUAAGGUUUUAUUUUUCUGGUUUCAGGACGCGGGUUCGAUUCCCGCCGCCUCCAUUG
rnacentral:tmRNA from 1 species